UAUUGACUUAAUGCACCUUUUAAACCACAGCUGAUCUCAUCCGAUUUUGGGAAGCUAAGCAGGGCUGGGCCUGGUCAGGACUUGGAUGGGAGGCCACGAGUGAUCUCCAGGUAGGUCUAAAA
rnacentral:rRNA from 1 species